rnacentral:lncRNA from 1 species
CAUGAAUCAACAGAUGUGUGAAAUUGUUUAAGGUCGCUAAUGGAGCCCGAGUCUGGUGUGUUUGUCGGUUAGCUGUUGUUUGACCUAUUUUACGGUUUUAAAUGCAGUAUGAGGUCUGAUGUUUUCAUUUCAUAGUUUCGUGUGCAUAUAUUACUGUUUUAUUGAUUAUGGGUUGAAUGACUGAGAAACUGAUGUUGUAUGUUAUCUUGUUUGGCAUAAAUUACUGGUUUGCUUGUUUGUGUGUGAAUUAAUGAUGCUGACUGAGGAAAAGAGGAAUGAAAGGUUAUGUAAAUUGAUAAUUGUAUAAUGUGGUCAGCCUGACUAGACAUCCUGGGAGAUGGUGGAUGGACCGGGUCCGUAUGAAACCCUACCGGGAUUGUGGUCUCUCAUAU